rnacentral:lncRNA from 1 species
GGGACGCUCACCAUGGAACCUAGCUGAGAGGAAGCCCAGGCAACGUGGUGAUGCCACACAUGGGUAUUCUGCUCAACAGCCCCAGCUAAGGUCCCAGCCAACAGCCAGCUUUGACUACCAGACAUGUGAAUGAAUGAACCUUCAGAUAACUCCAGCCCCACCUUUGAGUCUUUCAGCUGAGCCUCAGACACUAUGAAGCAGACUAGCUGUCCUCAAAAUGCCGUGUGCGAAUUCCUGACCUACAGGAACCAUGAAAAUAGAGACAAGAAGAAAGAGCAAUGUUCCCAGGAAGCACUAUGAGAAGCUAAAUGGCCCACAGCCCCCUGUUCCUCUGACCGUCCUGGUGUGAAGGCCAAUCGCGCAUUUUCACAGCCACGGUAUAGCCAAAUAUUUGUCCAAAGCAGUUGAGCCAGCAACGUAAGAGAGUUCCAAUUGCUUCCUGUCUUCACCAGCGUUUGGGAAACAUUCUGGUCAGUUGUAACAGUGACUGGAUCAUCCAAUACGCGUUUGUGGAAAGCAGAAUGGCGGAGAGGGACGUGGAAGGAUAGAGAAAGAGACGCAGGAGGGGAAGAAGAAUGCAGCAGCUGUGAUGCAAUUCCAGUCCCAGGCCUUAAGAAGAUCUGGCAGCUUCUGCUUUUGCUCCCUGGGGGAAGCCAGCCCGCUGUGAGCAGUCCAACUAUCCUGAGAGAUCACCUGGAGAGGCCAAGCAGAGGAGAACUGAGGAACCCAGCCAACACCAAGGACUGAAGCCUAGAUAUAUGACCCCACUUGAAUUGUUCCAACCAGACCUCAGCUUUUUGAGCCAUUCCAGCUGAGGCCCCAGACAUCACAGAACAGAGAUGAGCUAUUCCCACCAUGCUCUGAUCAAGUUACUGACCCACAAAGCCAUGUUCCAAUGAAAUGCUGUUUUAAGCCACUAAGUUGUGGGAUAGUUUGUUGCACAGCAAAAGAUACCUGAAACAGGAGAUAUUCACCACGAAAAUGACAAUUCCUUUCAUCAUUCUCAGUUUUUAUUCUCCUUAAAAUAUGCCUGUGGGAAGAAAACAACUCUUAAUACAAG